GUGUCAGCCGCCGCGGUAAUACAUAGGGUGCAAGCGUUGUCCGGAAUUAUUGGGCGUAAAGAGCUCGUAGGUGGUUCGUUACGUCGGAUGUGAAAACCUGAGGCUCAACCUCAGGCCUGCAUUCGAUACGGGCGAACUUGAGUGUGGUAGGGGAGGCUGGAAUUCCUGGUGUAGCGGUGGAAUGCGCAGAUAUCAGGAGGAACACCAAUGGCGAAGGCAGGCCUCUGGGCCACUACUGACACUGAGGAGCGAAAGCGUGGGGAGCAAACAGGAUUAGAUACCCUGGUAGUCCACGCUGUAAACGGUGGGCACUAGUUGUGGGAACCUUCCACGGUUUCUGCGACGUAGCAAACGCAUUAAGUGCCCCGCCUGGGGAGUACGAUCGCAAGAUUAAA
rnacentral:rRNA from 1 species